GGAUGGUCCCCAAGACUGAACCUCACCCGUUAACCAAUUAAUGACUGGACUGUGUUUGAUGAGCCAAGGGCGUCCCAGAAUCACCGGAAUCUCUGGGGACUUGGUCAGCAGAAAUGUGAUCCUGUCAUGGUGGUUUCCUGAAAUCAGUACAGAAACAGGCUUAGUGCAGUGAGUUAUGGUAUCAAUGAGAUGCCCAUCAAUGGCAAAAAUCUCACGUGAUUUCUCUAGAAGUUCCAACUCUAGUGCGAGCUUAUGAGCUAGGCUGACAUCAAUAAAGUCAGCAUCAGCCCCAGAAUCAAUAAAAACAGGAACUUCCCUCCCUUCAGGAGAGUCAGGGAAUCUGAUGGUGCACUGAUUGUGGGAAUGGUUCUGAUGUCUGAGGAUAGGGCUCAGUAAAGACCCCCUGAGCCUUACUGAGCCUGUUCUUUUUGACGGACAGUUAAGAGCUCGAUGGUUCCUCUCUCCGCAGUAAAAACACAGGUGAUUUCUGAACCUCCUCUCCCUUUCUUCAGCAGAAAGCCGGGUCCUACCCAACGGCAUGGGCUCCUCAGUGUUAACAAGGGGGGGCGUGAAGACUUGGGGCAAGCUGCUUGGACUGACCUGAACAGUUGAGACCCUUCUUUGAUAAUUAGAUGGAGACCUCUCCCUCUUACGUUCACGAAGGCGUUGGUCAAUCCGCGUGGCAAGCCUUUCUAAGGCCUCGAGCGACACAGGAGGGUCACGGGUAGCAAUCUCAUCCUUGAUAUCAUCUGACAGGCCCUGGUAAAAAAUGUCAAACAUGGCUUCAUUAUUCCAAAGACAACUGGACUUCAAGGCAUGGAAAUUGAUGAUAUAGUCAGAAACAGGUCGAGAGCCCUGUUUGAGAGAAAACAGUCUCCUGGCAGCCUCUCUCUCGGGACGGAUAGGAUCAAAAACCCUCUUCAUCUCAUCAGAAAACUCUAAAAAUGAGUCACAGCUGUCAGCAGCACUCUCCCACUCAGAUGUUCCCCACAGCUUAGCCUUACCAGAUAGUAGAGAGAUGGUAUAGGCCACCUUGGCCCGUUCAGAAGGGAAGGCUGAGGGCUGGAGUUCAAAAUGCAGAGAACACUGGGUUAAAAAAGGUCUGCAUUGUUCAGGAUCCCCAUCAAAACGCUCAGGUGGGGGAAUCUUGGGUUCGUUGUUAGCGUUAACCAUGGGAGUGGCAGUAAGUGGGAGUGGCCGCAUAACUGAGGGCCUAGCUUGGGUUUGGGAAUCCCUUAGAGAAGAAAGUCCCUGUAAAAGCUCCUGGACAUUUCUUUCUAGGCCGGUAACAGCAUCCUCUACUUUAGAACACCAACCGGGAUUUGGCUGUGGGUUCAUACUGGCGAGAUCGUACUGUAAUGGUAAAAGCAGAAUCAGCCAGAACCCAAAACGCAGCCACAACAAGAGGAUGGUUAACCAAAAAGUUUUAUUACUAAAGUAAAUGGUGUAGAAGGAUGUGGUCACACUAGUGGGUCAGGGACGAGGAAUCCACAGGGGUCAGGAGUCCAGCCGGGGGAGGGGAGGGUGAAUGGACAAGGGGAGAUCUGUGGGAGUCUCAGGGGACAAACAGACGACAGGGGCAAAAUCCACCAACCAGAGGCUGAGUCGUGAAACGGUCCAGGGUCAUGCACGGGAGGGUCUCAGGCAGUGAAAAUCCAGAAUCCAGAAGGCAGGAGGCAGGGUCAGAAACAGGCAGGGUUCAGCAACAGGACUUUCAACAGCAAAAGGAUUAGGCAAAAAUCUGUGGUCAAAAACAGGCAGGAUCAGAAACCAGAAAACACUUUGAAACAUGAGACAAGGCUUGAAAGCUGUGACAGGGGCAACAGACGAUCUCGCACUGAGCUGGUGACGAGCAGCUGAUUAAGUAGGGACCAGCUCAGUGCAGCAAAUAUAUUUUGAUUGCCCUCCCCUG